rnacentral:rRNA from 1 species
UACGGGGGGGGCAAGCGUUGUUCGGAAUUACUGGGCGUAAAGGGUUCGUAGGUGGCCAACUAAGUCAGACGUGAAAUCCCUCAGCUUAACUGGGGAACUGCGUCUGAUACUGGUUGGCUUGAGUGCAGGAGAGGAACGCGGAAUUCCAGGUGUAGCGGUGAAAUGCGUAGAUAUCGGGAGGAACACCAGAGGCGAAGGCGGCGACCUGGACAGGUACUGACGCUGAGACGCGAAAGCGUGGGGAGCGAACAGG